rnacentral:rRNA from 1 species
GAUGAACGCUGGCGGCGUGCCUAAUACAUGCAAGUCGAGCGAACGGACGAGAAGCUUGCUUCUCUGAUGUUAGCGGCGGACGGGUGAGUAACACGUGGAUAACCUACCUAUAAGACUGGGAUAACUUCGGGAAACCGGAGCUAAUACCGGAUAAUAUUUUGAACCGCAUGGUUCAAAAGUGAAAGACGGUCUUGCUGUCACUUAUAGAUGGAUCCGCGCUGCAUUAGCUAGUUGGUAAGGUAACGGCUUACCAAGGCAACGAUGCAUAGCCGACCUGAGAGGGUGAUCGGCCACACUGGAACUGAGACACGGUCCAGACUCCUACGGGAGGCAGCAGUAGGGAAUCUUCCGCAAUGGGCGAAAGCCUGACGGAGCAACGCCGCGUGAGUGAUGAAGGUCUUCGGAUCGUAAAACUCUGUUAUUAGGGAAGAACAUAUGUGUAAGUAACUGUGCACAUCUUGACGGUACCUAAUCAGAAAGCCACGGCUAACUACGUGCCAGCAGCCGCGGUAAUACGUAGGUGGCAAGCGUUAUCCGGAAUUAUUGGGCGUAAAGCGCGCGUAGGCGGUUUUUUAAGUCUGAUGUGAAAGCCCACGGCUCAACCGUGGAGGGUCAUUGGAAACUGGAAAACUUGAGUGCAGAAGAGGAAAGUGGAAUCCCAUGUGUAGCGGUGAAAUGCGCAGAGAUAUGGAGGAACACCAGUGGCGAAGGCGACUUUCUGGUCUGUAACUGACGCUGAUGUGCGAAAGCGUGGGGAUCAAACAGGAUUAGAUACCCUGGUAGUCCACGCCGUAAACGAUGAGUGCUAAGUGUUAGGGGGUUUCCGCCCCUUAGUGCUGCAGCUAACGCAUUAAGCACUCCGCCUGGGGAGUACGACCGCAAGGUUGAAACUCAAAGGAAUUGACGGGGACCCGCACAAGCGGUGGAGCAUGUGGUUUAAUUCGAAGCAACGCGAAGAACCUUACCAAAUCUUGACAUCCUUCGACAACUCUAGAGAUAGAGCCUUCCCCUUCGGGGGACAAAGUGACAGGUGGUGCAUGGUUGUCGUCAGCUCGUGUCGUGAGAUGUUGGGUUAAGUCCCGCAACGAGCGCAACCCUUAAGCUUAGUUGCCAUCAUUAAGUUGGGCACUCUAAGUUGACUGCCGGUGACAAACCGGAGGAAGGUGGGGAUGACGUCAAAUCAUCAUGCCCCUUAUGAUUUGGGCUACACACGUGCUACAAUGGACAAUACAAAGGGCAGCGAAACCGCGAGGUCAAGCAAAUCCCAUAAAGUUGUUCUCAGUUCGGAUUGUAGUCUGCAACUCGACUACAUGAAGCUGGAAUCGCUAGUAAUCGUAGAUCAGCAUGCUACGGUGAAUACGUUCCCGGGUCU